rnacentral:snoRNA from 1 species
UUGCAUGAUGACAAACACUACGAAUUCUUCAUAAUUUCUGGUACCUCUUAUGUCAGGAGGGAAGCCCAGCAGGGUUCUCUUCGAUGAUCUAAAUGGACUUCUGAAC